rnacentral:ncRNA from 1 species
UCAGGGGGAUUCUAAUUUUUUGCUUAUUUUGAGACACCAGGAAAAUUGCUACAUGUCUGGUUUUUGAAAUUGUUUGCUAAACUAUGAUUUAGUUUAGAAAAUUGGGUUAAAUAUUUUGAUUUUUAUACUUUUAUUGGACUAGAAGAAUUUUUUUAGUAGUAAUUAAUUUUAUUUAUCUAUUAAUUGUAGGAUAUAGCAAUGAUUUAUAAUUCUAACAAAUACUUGUGCCAGCAGUUGCGGUUAUACGAGAAGGAUUACUCAAUUUUUUUGGUUUUAGUUAAUUAAUUAAUUUAUCAAAAAAUUUUUAUUGGGAAGUGAAAUUUUAAUAUAAAAUUUAAAUUUAUUUAUUAAGUGAUCUAAGGAAAUUUUACUUUAAACCAGGAUUAGAUACCCUGUUAUUGAGAUUGUUUGUAAAAAAACUGGAUUAGUAUUAGUUAAAUUCUUGAAAAUUAAAUAUCUUGGCGGUACUUUAACCUACCAGAGGAACCUGUCCUGUAAUUGAUAAUUCACAAUUUAUUUUACUUUUAAAGUUGUUUGUAUAUCGUUGUUGUUAAUGAAAAUUUUAUAAAAAAUAUAAUUUUCUUUAUAUAUAAAUAUAUUUUAGAUCAAAUCAAGGUGCAGCUUUUGAAAGAAGAGAUGGGUUACGUUAAAAUUUUCUAAAUUGUAAAUUUAUUUGAGUUAGGAUUUGGUAGUAAUUUUAUUUAUUAAGAUAAUGUGAAUGGGGCUCUAGAGUAUGUACAUAUCGCCCGUCGCUUUUGUACUUUAUACAAAAUAAGUCGUAACAUAGUAGAUUUAUCGGAAGAUGACUCUAGAAUGU